rnacentral:lncRNA from 10 species
AAGUAGAUGUCAAGAAGACAGUAUUACAAAGAUAAAGAAGGACUUUUCUUAACGAAAAAUGAUUCAUCCAUGUAAGUGUAUGUUUUUAAUAACAACUUCAAAAUAGCUGAAGCAAAAAUGGUCUCAAAUAAAUUGAGAAACAUGUAAGUUUUCCAUUAUGGUUGUGCCACAUGUUAUUUAAUCUAUUCCUGAUUGAUGGACAUUUAAUUUGUUUCUGAUUUUUUUUUUACUAUUGCCACAAUGAAUAUAUUUGUGCAUGUGUACAUAUAUCUAUAUCUAUAUCUAUCUAUACUUAUGUAGUAGUGUCUACUUAGGAAAGAUUCCUAGAAUGGAUUUGCUGGGUCAAAGGUCAUUGUGUCAUUUGAUUAACAUUUUAUCAAAAUCGUAUUUUGAUUCAGUACAGCCAAAUUCUUCUUCUAAAAGACUUCAUCAAUUUACCCUCCUACCAACAGUGUAUGAGUGUACAUUUCUUUUGUUGUUGUUCUAACACUGUUUUCCCAUCGCUCCUCGGCUAGAAAUCAAAAUUUCUCGCAUGCAUUCAAAGCCCCACAGUCUGGCCCCUCCUUAUGUCGCCAGGCCCUCCAGUGCUCCUACUCCCCUCUACUCUCGUCUCCAGCCCCAGUGACAUUUCAGUCUCUAUUGAUUUGCUCCAGGACCUUUGCCUCCCCUCCUAAGAGGUAAAUAACCACUGUUAACGAUUGGUAUUCAUCUAGUAUUUUGUCUAUGCACUUAUAUACACACAUAUCUAUACACAGGCACACUUGUACCCUUUAAAAACAUAAUAAAAUCUGAGAAAUGCGUCAUUAGCCAACUUCAUCGUUGUAUAAACAUUGAGUGUAUUUACAGAAACCUAGAUGGUAUAGUCAACUACACAUCUAGGCUAUAUGGUAGAGCAUAGUGCUCCUAGGCUAGAAAACUGCAUGUUACUGUACUGAAUGCUAUAGGUGAUUGUAACACAAUGGUAAGUAUUUGUGUAUCUAAACAUGAAAAAGGUAAAAUAAAAAUAUGAUAAAAUAACCUUACGGGGCCACUGUAGUAUGUGCAGUCUGUUUUUGACUGGAACGUUAUUAAGCAGCACAUGACUAUAUGUCCUAAGCUUAUGGCCUUCUAUAAGUGUUACUUAGUCUUUCUACAUCUGUUCCUUUUUUUCUUUCUUUUUUUUUUUUUUUUUUUUGUGAAAUGAGAAUUUAAAAAAAUCAACUUGAAAGUGUUGGCCAGGCUCUGUGGCUCACACCUGUAAUCCCAGCACUUUGGGAGGAAGAGGCAGGAGGAUUGCUUGAGCCAAGGAGAGCAGAAGUUCAAGACCAGCCUGGGCAACACGGGGAUACCACAUCUCUAUGAAAAGAAAAAGAAAAAGUAGCAGGUCAUAGUAGUGUGAGCUUGCAGUCCCAGCUACUUGAGAGGCUGAGGUGGGAGCAUCACUUGACUAGAAGGUAGGUUACAGUGAGAUGUUAUAGCGCCACUGUACUCCAGCCUGGGUGACAGAGCAAGACUCCAUCUCAAAAAAAAAAAAAAAAAAAAAAAAAUAUAUAUAUAUAUAUAUAUAUAUAUAUAUAUAUAUAUAACCCAUAAAGUGUUGUUGAAAUUUAAAAUAUUAUAUAUAAUAGAUAGACAGGAGUAAUACAGGCACUUAAUAAAAGCUGAAUAUUUUUUAAAAGGUGACAUUUGUUUUACACAAUACACAUUACCUAAACAAACAAUCAUUAAUCUGUGAGCUGCUUCUAUGCUUCUUUCCUUAUCUGCAAAGUGGUUCUCCAAUUUUACCCUUUCAUAGUACCCUGUCCUCCUUCCCAGCACUUACCAUAAUGUUAAUUAAUGUUCUAAUUCUUUUCUAGCCAAACCCUUAGACUUUAACUGUUUUCCCAGGCAAACUCCUGGCUCUGUGAGACCAGUCGCUUAAAAAUGUAGUACUUAUCUGCACUCUCUAACACCACCCGUCUCUUAACCCAUGUUCAAUAAAUGUUGGUGAAAAAAAUCAAAGUCACACUUAUCUUGAGGAGAAUUUAGAGGGGCCAAUGAACUGGCAAAGUGUUUCAUUAUGACAGGAGAAAAAUAGAGCAGUCUACGCUAUAUUAAAAGUAUGCAACAAUUUAUUUUAUUUUAAUCUUUUUUACAUUCCUGGUAACUCACAGAACAAAACAAUUUAUUUGUAUUUGUAUUUACUAAUUUAAGAAAUAGAGAUGGGGUCUCACUAUGUUGCCCAGGCUGGUCUUGAACUCCUGGACUCAAGUGAUCCUCCCACCUCACCCUCCCAAAGUGCUGGGAUUACAGCCAUGAGCCACCGUGCCCAGUCCCCCAUUUUUUUUUAAUUAAAGUUAUGGGGUCUCUUAUCCAGGCUGGAGUGCAGUGGUGUAAUCACAGCUCACAGUGACCUUGAACUUCCAGGCUCAAGCAAUCCUCCCGCCCCAGCCUCCUGAGUAACUAGAGCUACAGGCGUGCCCCAUCACACCUAGCUAAUAUUUAAAAUUUGAAUUAUUUAAAAAUUUUAAUUUUUAUUUAAUUUUUAUAAAAAGAUUUUAUAAAAAGGAGAUUUAUUCUUUAUCUUAUUUUUUGAGACAGGAUCUCAGUCUGUCACCCAGGAUGGAGCACGGUUGCAUGAUGCAUCACCGUGCCUGGCUAAUUUUUAAAAUUUUUUAAGAGAUAGCCUGUUGGUAUAUUACCGAGGCUGGUUUCGAAUUCUUGGCCUUAAGAGAUCCUUCCCCCUUAGGCUCCCAAAAUGCUGAGAUUACGAGUGUGAGCAACCCCACCAGCCCGGCCAGGCAUUCAAAAUUUAUCAGACCCAGAGAGACCUGAGUAUGAGAUGUCAGUUAGCACCAUCCCCAUGUACACUAGCAAUUGUUUAAAGGCACUUUGUUCUUUUCUGCCCUGUACAAGCAUCACCCUUUAUCUUCGUGUUCCCAGAAUCCGUGAUAGAAAGAACAAGUAUAGCCAAUGGAUAGGUUGUUAUUUUAAUGUAAAUUCUUGGAAUACAAUUUAGCAAGGGCCUCUUCUUUUUUUUUCCUUUAAAAAUUCACUUGUAGCCGGGUGCAGUCGCCCACACCUGUAAUCCCAGUACUUUGGGAGGCAGAGAUGGAAGGAUCAAUUCCUUUGAGACAAGAGUUCAAGCUUCCUGGCCAACAAAACAAAGAACUCACUUGAAACUGCUGCUAAGAUCAUGUAUUAAAUUAAGGGUAACUUGAAGUGAUGCUCCCAGUUUGCAUUCUUGAGACUUGGCCCAAAUAAAUUCUCUAUUUAUAUUAACUUUGCCUCCGUUUUUCCUUUAGGUUGACAGUUAUUUCUAAAGUUGUACAGAAGGGUUUACCUUGAGUAUUAAAAUAAGGUGUGAGAAAGGCAACUGAAGCCAGAGGCUCCCAUCACAGCCUUGUGGCCUUCGGAGGCUUCCAAAGGAUCAGCAUUAACUGCAAUAUUUAGGAGGAGUGCAGCUCUUCAAGAUUCAUAAAGUGUUAAAUCUGUUGCCUGGAAUUCCAGAAAGAGGGGGAGGAAGAGCACAGUGUGAACUGUGUUCAACUUCAACCUAAAGGUAAAAGCGAUCAGCCUAAGAUCAGGAGCGCAAGGGAGAAGCUUGAAGCCAUGCGUUCUCACGGAGGCGUUUCCCGCUCCAGGGCUGCCCAGGCCCGCGGGCCAAGCAGCUAGCCGUGCGGGCCGUCGUCACGCCCGCGAUCAGAUCAGCUCCCCGCCACGUGGCACUGGGAAGGCGUCCACCAAGCUCCAGGGAGAAGGAGGCGGAGCCCGGCCUCAAUCUCACCCGUGUCCUCAUGGGAGUUGUAGUUUUCCUUGCGGGCGUAGAGGGCACGAACUCCCGGCUUUUGCCCGAUAAAUAGCAUCUCUUUUGUACGAGUCAUUCAAAUAAUAGACGCAAUCUAGGUAACUUCAAGAGAAGAUGGGAAGGGGAAGGGGCAAAGCAUGGAAGGCAAAUCUAAAGAUUAUGGGCGGGGCAGAGAAAGGUUCGCACUUAGUACGCAUGCGCAUACCAGGCGCGACAGGUGGGCGGACACAGAAGGCGACGCCUAGGGCUGUGUUGUCCCGGAAGUGCCUUCUCUCCUCCCGGGUCUGCGCGGACGCGGCCUCCUUACCUCAUUUGUCCUCGCCCCUCCCCGUCCCUCUACGCGUUUUGGUCCCUGUUUGGUGCUUUCUGUUUGCAGCUACGGCAGUGAGUAUGUAUGUGACGGACCCCGAGUCACCCGCGGCCUGGGACCCCUGCCUACCCUCCGUCUCGCCAGCCGAGCUGUGGAACUAGCGCGUGCCCCCUCGCCGACCUCGGCGUCUCCGGUCCGCCCCUCACUUGUGGUGGGGCGCAGCUCCUGGUCCCUCAGCUGCGCGCCGCCCCACGCGGCCGGGCUGCGGGUCUAGGGGGUCCGCAUCUCCCUGGCUUUCCAAGGGCUAAGGUCGUGAUUCUAGGGCGGCUGGGCGUCCAGGGCCUCGGUGGGGGUGGCGUGUCUGCCCUUUUUAUCUCCCCGCAAGGCCCCCAGUCUUCUAGGGAAGCCAGUCAGUGAAGCGCGGAGGUCCGGGCGCGCCGAGAGAGAGUCCAGUCUUUGAGGACCGAGUAGUCCUGGGCCACCUCCCGCCUCUGCUGUCAGAAGCAGCAGCUGCCGCCGUGGAAUCCAAAAUUUCGGGAGCUGUGACCCUUUCCUCA